CCUACGGGCGGCAGCAGUGGGGAAUAUUGGGCAAUGGAGGAAACUCUGACCCAGCAACGUCGCGUGAAUGAUGAAGGUCCUCGGAUUGUAAAGUUCUUUUCUAAGGGAAGAAGAAAGUGACGGUACCUUAGGAAUAAGCCUCGGCUAACUACGUGCCAGCAGCCGCGGUAAUACGUAGGAGGCGAGCGUUAUCCGGAAUGACUGGGCGUACAGGGUGCGUAGGUGGUUUGGCAAGUUAGUAGCGAAACUCCAAGGCUCAACCUUGGAACUACUACGAGAACUGUUGGACUUGAGUGCAGGGUGGGCAACCGGAAUUCCUGGUGUAGCGGUGGAAUGCGUAGAUAUUAGGAAGAACACCAGUGGCGAAGGCGGGUUGCUAGACUGUAACUGACACUGAGGCACGAAAGCGUGGGGAGCGAACAGGAUUAGAUACCCUUGUAGUC
rnacentral:rRNA from 1 species